GCAGAGACUGGGCUGGAUAGCCUGGAGGAGGGCCAGCUGGGAAAGGCAUGAUUACUGUCCUCAAACACCUAGAAGAGCAUCGCAUGCGGCCCCGGGGGAAGGGGCUGUUAGGGGGAAGCAGACGACUGCUCCUAUAAAAAAGGGACUUUGAAGAGGUGGAGCUGGCCAAAGAUGGAAGAGGGGCCUAGAAGACGGCCAGCAAGGCAGGACACAAGCACAGUGGAUGCUGGAAGGGGACUCAAGCCCCCACAGACAACUGCUGCCAACAAGCAGAAAAGGAGAAUGUUUAUGCAGCCUAGUCACAAGGGAAAUGACAUGAGGACAUGAGGACCUCAGACGGCAAAAUCAAGGCUUCAACACCUUUGGGGAAUCCACAGCACAAGAGCCCCUAUUUAAGUUCAACCCCAGAAUGAGAUCAGCUGACACUUGUUCACUCCUCCCUGCGCCCAGGAAAUACUUGGUUAUGUGUUACUGACUGAAGAUUUGGAGUCCCUGUUUCCCAUGUUCACUCAGCAUCUGACUUGGGCUCCCUGGGCCUCAAUUCCUCCAUCUAUAAAAUGAAAGUGAUAAAGUGAUACUGGCUUACCACGAGAACUAUCUAAAGCUCCUGUGAGAGUUCCUGAACAGUCAGGUCUGUGCCAGCAUCACUCCUCCAAAAAGCCUUCCUACAGUCUCCCCAGGACCCUCUGUGGCUCCUCACUGGGCUAGCACCCGUGUUUAGGUGACCCACAGCUCCCUGUCCAUCACUGUGUGUUUAUACCUAUUUAAUGUUCCUGCAUCUGCCUUUAGACCCUGAGCUUCCUGAAGGCAGGGACCAUGUGGUUCACAUUUCUAACUCCAUCCCCGGACCAGAAGAGGCACCAGGUAAAUGCUUGCUGACACUUGUGAGGUAGGACUCCAUCUCUAACUUGGCUUUGGAAGACUCUGAGGACUCAGCAAGUAGAGCCUGUGAGAGGGGGCUUGGUGUGCAGAAGACAGAGGAGAAUGAUCCAGCCAUGACUGUGCUACUCCAUCAUACCCCCAUAUCCCUCAUUGCUCAAUUCUCCUCCCAAACACUUCUGAAAGCACAACACGAUGCAUUAAGGAACAUUUCUUUGAAAGAUCAUUAGUCACCCCUCCUGUCCAUAAUACCCUGCCCCGACAUGGCACAGUGUUAGCCACACCCUAAGAACUAUCUAAAUAUUAUUGACUAACAAGCCUAGUUACCAGGUAUUUGCCAUCUGUUCAAGAAAUGACUAUUGCAGAAGUCCAGUCACUAUCUGAAGUCCUUAUACUGCAUCUUAUAUUUGAUCCCCACAAAAAGAUAGUUUCACCAUCUACCCUUGUGUUGCUAAGGAAACAGCCUCAGAGAGGUUGAGGGCUCUGCUCAGCAUCACACAGCAAAGUCAUACUCCAUCUGUUAAGUGAAUGCAAACCUUACAGGUUUCAACCUCCAGGACCCAAUCUUCAUGGUAUUCAGUUUCACAAGAGCAAAAAUACCAGCUCGUGUCAGUAAGACUGAUACACACAAUCCUACAGAGCUUAGAAGUCUUAAAAUGUUAAGUUUGCCCUUCCUAUAAGCAGGUGGGAUGUGGCAACAUUACACUUUCACAAAGACCCUAAGCUCAAGCCAGCAUCUCGAGGGGCACCUGAAGAAAGUGGAUUUUACCUUAACAACUUCUAUCCCUCUAAGGAGGUCGUCUGCCCUGAUAUUUUUACCAACACACUUUCCCAAGCUUCAGGCUGUCCUGUCAGACCCUUUUCUACUCUCACAAAGAGACCUGUGACAUCACUUGCCCCUCAAACAGUCUGUUCUCCUCUCAGGAUUGCCACCCAUUGGUAAAAGUGAGGAGCUGCAUUAGGUUGGGGGUGGCACCAGGGGAUGGCAUUCAGGUUCCACCUGGCACAUUACUUCUGGUUUCCUGCCUGUGUUGAGAAGACUCCUAAAAGUGUGACCAGGCUACGUGGGAGUGCUGGACUCCAAGCUGGAUGGAAAUCAAUCUUAUUCUCUACUCUCACUGGCUCCCGGAACAGCACCUGGUACUCUAGGAAACUGCCCACACGAGUGAUGACCCUCUAGAGACAAACCCCAGCUCUCGGUGCCCAGCAGACCGGCCUUGGACGAUCCUCUCCAGCUGAUCUUGCUUAUCUUGACUCCUGGACAGCCUGCCCCUUGUCUCCCCUUAAAAUUUCUGUCUACUUGAGCCUGCUCUGCUUGGAUAUCCUGAAGGUCAUCUCGUCCCUAAAGUCUGCCUUGACUCCCUCCAUAUUCCCAUCACAGUCCUAUCCUCUAAACAGCCCAUCUAGUCCACCUACAUCUUUCCAGGCACGGGAUGCAGGCAGGCUUUAGCUACUUUUAAGUCUUCUCUCCCCAGGAUGUCAGUAAUAGCAGCAGCUGACCCUUAAUGCCUCCUCCCUACCAUGUACACCUUUCUUCCUGCUAAGACUAUAGUCAGGAUAUCACCACUUCUGUUUGCAAGUGAGGAAACCGAGAGGUUAGCACCUAGUCCAGUCUCACAGCUCUAGUGGCAGCCUGGGGUCUGAACCCCAGCAUUCUGACCCUGAACUAUGCUCUAACUACAGGUCUGUAUGACUUCUGGGGUGUGGGCUUCUCAUUGUGCCUAGCUCAGCCACACCCAUGUAGGCUUAAUAAACGCUAUUCUUUUGCAUUCCAAGGAAGCAACAUAGCCAGUGUGAAUUAUCAAUGCAAGCAAUUCAAUAAAAGGCUUCCAAAUCA